GAUGAACGCUGGCGGCGUGCCUAAGACAUGCAAGUCGAGUGGGUUUAGACCCACGGCGAACGGGUGAGUAAUACCUAGGAACUUUCUUUAAGUGGAGGAUAACCAGCCGAAAGGUUGGAUAAUACUUCACGUGGCAGUAAUGCUAAAGUCGCAAGACGCUUAAAGUGAGGCCUGGGCACCAUCAGCUAGUUGGUAAGGUAAUGGCUUACCAAGGCUAUGACGGUUAGGGGUCCCGAGAGGGAUAACCCCCACACUGGAACUGCGACACGGUCCAGACUCCUACGGGAGGCAGCAGUUUGGAAUUUUGGACAAUGGGCGAAAGCCUGAUCCAGCGACGCCGCGUGGACGAUGAAGGCCUUCGGGUCGUAAAGUCCUUUUGCUCGGGAACAAUAUUUUUGAGCGUACCGAGAGAAUAAGAGGUUGCUAACUCUGUGCC
rnacentral:rRNA from 1 species